UACAGAGGUCUCAAGCGUUGUUCGGAUUCAUUGGGCGUAAAGGGUGCGUAGGUGGCGAGGUUAGUCAGGUGUGAAAUCUCGGGGCUCAACCCCGAAACUGCACUUGAUACUGCCUUGCUAGAGUACUGGGAGAGGAGAUUGGAAUUUACGGUGUAGCAGUGAAAUGCGUAGAUAUCGAUAAGGAAGACCAGUGGCGAAGGCGAAUCUCUGGACAGUUACUGACACUGAGGCACGAAGGCCAGGGGAGCAAACGGG
rnacentral:rRNA from 1 species